AUCCAGCUGACGAGUCCCAAAUACGACGAAAUGCGCGUCCUGAAU
rfam:Schistosoma mansoni strain Puerto Rico chromosome 3, complete genome